rnacentral:rRNA from 1 species
UACAGAGGUCUCAAGCGUUGUUCGGAUUCAUUGGGCGUAAAGGGUGUGUAGGUGGCGUCGCUAAGUCGGGUGUGAAAUUUCGGAGCUUAACUCCGAAACUGCAUUCGAUACUGGCGUGCUUGAGGACUGGAGAGGAGACUGGAAUUCAUGGUGUAGCAGUGAAAUGCGUAGAGAUCAUGAGGAAGACCAGUGGCGAAGGCGGGUCUCUGGACAGUUCCUGACGCUGAGGCACGAAGGCCAGGGGAGCAAACGGG